CUGAAGGCCUCCCCCUGUCCAAAGAAAGGGAGACCUGGCAGCCAUCCAGGUCAGGGACCCUGCCAAGGACCAGGGACUGGAUUCUCAGCUGAGAAUAUUACCAGUGUUGCAGAACCUGAAUUCCUAUUGCAACCCAGUGAGAAUUUUAUGAAGAAAGCAUCUGAUUUCCUCUCCUUGCCAGCCACGGUCGGAUGGCUGCCCCAAAGCUGCUCCAGGCAAACAGACUGCAACGUCAGAGAUGAGGAGUCAUACCAGAUGGCGACUGUAAGAUGAAAAUAAAGUCAC